AGCGUACACGGUGGAUGCCCUGGCAGUCAGAGGCGAUGAAGGACGUGCUAAUCUGCGAAAAGCGACGGCGAGGUGAUAUGAACCUUUGACCCGUCGAUGUCCGAAUGGGGAAACCCAGUGCAAUCCGUUGCACUAUCGUUAACUGAAUACAUAGGUUAACGAGGCGAACCGGGGGAACUGAAACAUCUAAGUACCCCGAGGAAAAGAAAUCAACCGAGAUUCCCCCAGUAGCGGCGAGCGAACGGGGAGCAGCCCGGAGUCUGAAUCAGCUUGUGUGUUAGUGGAAGCGUCUGGAAAGUCGCACGGUACAGGGUGACAGUCCCGUACACGAAAAUGCACAGGUUGUGAACUCGAAGAGUAGGGCGGGACACGUGGUAUCCUGUCUGAAUAUGGGGGGACCAUCCUCCAAGGCUAAAUACUCCUGACUGACCGAUAGUGAACCAGUACCGUGAGGGAAAGGCGAAAAGAACCCCGGCGAGGGGAGUGAAAAAGAACCUGAAACCGUGUACGUACAAGCAGUGGGAGCACCUUCGUGGUGUGACUGCGUACCUUUUGUAUAAUGGGUCAGCGACUUAUAUUCUGUAGCAAGGUUAACCGUAUAGGGGAGCCGCAGGGAAACCGAGUCUUAACUGGGCGUUAAGUUGCAGGGUAUAGACCCGAAACCCGGUGAUCUAGCCAUGGGCAGGUUGAAGGUUGGGUAACACUAACUGGAGGACCGAACCGACUAAUGUUGAAAAAUUAGCGGAUGACCUGUGGCUGGGGGUGAAAGGCCAAUCAAACCGGGAGAUAGCUGGUUCUCCCCGAAAGCUAUUUAGGUAGCGCCUCGUGAACUCAUCUUCGGGGGUAGAGCACUGUUUCGGCUAGGGGGCCAUCCCGGCUUACCAACCCGAUGCAAACUACGAAUACCGAAGAAUGUUAUCACGGGAGACACACGGCGGGUGCUAACGUCCGUCGUGAAGAGGGAAACAACCCAGACCGCCAGCUAAGGUCCCAAAGUCAUGGUUAAGUGGGAAACGAUGUGGGAAGGCACAGACAGCCAGGAUGUUGGCUUAGAAGCAGCCAUCAUUUAAAGAAAGCGUAAUAGCUCACUGGUCGAGUCGGCCUGCGCGGAAGAUGUAACGGGGCUAAACCAUGCACCGAAGCUGCGGCAGCGACGCUUAUGCGUUGUUGGGUAGGGGAGCGUUCUGUAAGCCGUCGAAGGUGUGCUGUGAGGCAUGCUGGAGGUAUCAGAAGUGCGAAUGCUGACAUAAGUAACGAUAAAGCGGGUGAAAAGCCCGCUCGCCGGAAGACCAAGGGUUCCUGUCCAACGUUAAUCGGGGCAGGGUGAGUCGACCCCUAAGGCGAGGCCGAAAGGCGUAGUCGAUGGGAAACAGGUUAAUAUUCCUGUACUUGGUGUUACUGCGAAGGGGGGACGGAGAAGGCUAUGUCAGCCGGGCGACGGUUGUCCCGGUUUAAGCGUGUAGGUGUGUGUUCCAGGCAAAUCCGGUUCACUUUAACACUGAGGCGUGAUGACGAGGCACUACGGUGCUGAAGUGAUAAAUGCCCUGCUUCCAGGAAAAGCCUCUAAGCAUCAGGUAACACGAAAUCGUACCCCAAACCGACACAGGUGGUCAGGUAGAGAAUACCAAGGCGCUUGAGAGAACUCGGGUGAAGGAACUAGGCAAAAUGGUGCCGUAACUUCGGGAGAAGGCACGCUGAUAUGUAGGUGAAGUCCCUGCGGACGGAGCUGAAAUCAGUCGAAGAUACCAGCUGGCUGCAACUGUUUAUUAAAAACACAGCACUGUGCAAACACGAAAGUGGACGUAUACGGUGUGACGCCUGCCCGGUGCCGGAAGGUUAAUUGAUGGGGUUAGCGGCAACGCGAAGCUCUUGAUCGAAGCCCCGGUAAACGGCGGCCGUAACUAUAACGGUCCUAAGGUAGCGAAAUUCCUUGUCGGGUAAGUUCCGACCUGCACGAAUGGCGUAAUGAUGGCCAGGCUGUCUCCACCCGAGACUCAGUGAAAUUGAACUCGCUGUGAAGAUGCAGUGUACCCGCGGCAAGACGGAAAGACCCCGUGAACCUUUACUAUAGCUUGACACUGAACACUGGUCCUUGAUGUGUAGGAUAGGUGGGAGGCUUUGAAGCGUGGACGCCAGUCUGCGUGGAGCCGUCCUUGAAAUACCACCCUUUAAUGGCUGGUGUUCUAACGUGGACCCGUGAUCCGGGUUGCGGACAGUGUCUGGUGGGUAGUUUGACUGGGGCGGUCUCCUCCCAAAGAGUAACGGAGGAGCACGAAGGUUAGCUAAUCCUGGUCGGACAUCAGGAGGUUAGUGCAAUGGCAUAAGCUAGCUUGACUGCGAGAGUGACGGCUCGAGCAGGUGCGAAAGCAGGUCAUAGUGAUCCGGUGGUUCUGAAUGGAAGGGCCAUCGCUCAACGGAUAAAAGGUACUCCGGGGAUAACAGGCUGAUACCGCCCAAGAGUUCAUAUCGACGGCGGUGUUUGGCACCUCGAUGUCGGCUCAUCACAUCCUGGGGCUGAAGUAGGUCCCAAGGGUAUGGCUGUUCGCCAUUUAAAGUGGUACGCGAGCUGGGUUUAGAACGUCGUGAGACAGUUCGGUCCCUAUCUGCCGUGGGCGCUGGAGAAUUGAGGGGGGCUGCUCCUAGUACGAGAGGACCGGAGUGGACGCAUCACUGGUGUUCGGGUUGUCAUGCCAAUGGCACUGCCCGGUAGCUAAAUGCGGAAGAGAUAAGUGCUGAAAGCAUCUAAGCACGAAACUUGCCCCGAGAUGAGUUCU
rnacentral:rRNA from 1 species